UACCAGACUCCUACGGGAGGCAGCAGUGGGGGAUAUUGCACAAUGGGGGAAACCCUGAUGCAGCGACGCCGCGUGUGGGAAGACGGUCCUCUGGAUUGUAAACCACUGUCCCCAGGGACGAAGAUGACGGUACCUGGGGAGGAAGCUCCGGCUAACUACGUGCCAGCAGCCGCGGUAAUACGUAGGGAGCGAGCGUUGUCCGGAUUUACUGGGUGUAAAGGGAGCGUAGACGGUUGUAUAAGUCUGGAGUGAAAGCCCGGGGCCCAACCCCGGGACUGCUUUGGAAACUGUGUAACUUGAGUACAGGAGGGGCAGGCGGAAUUCCUGGUGUAGCGGUGAAAUGCGUAGAUAUCAGGAGGAACACCGGCGGCGAAGGCGGCCUGCUGGACUGAAACUGACGUUGAGGCUCGAAAGCGUGGGGAGCAAACAGGAUUAGAUACCCUCGUA
rnacentral:rRNA from 1 species